rnacentral:rRNA from 1 species
GACGAACGCUGGCGGCGCGCCUAACACAUGCAAGUCGAACGAGAGAUGAGGAGCUUGCUCUUCAAAUCGAGUGGCGAACGGGUGAGUAACGCGUGAGGAACCUGCCUCAAAGAGGGGGACAACAGUUGGAAACGACUGCUAAUACCGCAUAAGCCCACGGCUCGGCAUCGAGCAGAGGGAAAAGGAGCAAUCCGCUUUGAGAUGGCCUCGCGUCCGAUUAGCUAGUUGGUGAGGUAACGGCCCACCAAGGCGACGAUCGGUAGCCGGACUGAGAGGUUGAACGGCCACAUUGGGACUGAGACACGGCCCAGACUCCUACGGGAGGCAGCAGUGGGGAAUAUUGCACAAUGGGGGAAACCCUGAUGCAGCGACGCCGCGUGGAGGAAGAAGGUCUUCGGAUUGUAAACUCCUGUUGUUGAGGAAGAUAAUGACGGUACUCAACAAGGAAGUGACGGCUAACUACGUGCCAGCAGCCGCGGUAAAACGUAGGUCACAAGCGUUGUCCGGAAUUACUGGGUGUAAAGGGAGCGCAGGCGGGAGAACAAGUUGGAAGUGAAAUCCAUGGGCUCAGCCCAUGAACUGCUUUCAAAACUGUUUUUCUUGAGUAGUGCAGAGGUAGGCGGAAUUCCCGGUGUAGCGGUGGAAUGCGUAGAUAUCGGGAGGAACACCAGUGGCGAAGGCGGCCUACUGGGCACCAACUGACGCUGAGGCUCGAAAGUGUGGGUAGCAAACAGGAUUAGAUACCCUGGUAGUCCACACCGUAAACGAUGAUUACUAGGUGUUGGAGGAUUGACCCCCUCAGUGCCGCAGUUAACACAAUAAGUAAUCCACCUGGGGAGUACGACCGCAAGGUUGAAACUCAAAGGAAUUGACGGGGGCCCGCACAAGCAGUGGAGUAUGUGGUUUAAUUUGACGCAACGCGAAGAACCUUACCAAGUCUUGACAUCCUGCGACGCACAUAGAAAUAUGUGUUUCCUUCGGGACGCAGAGACAGGUGGUGCAUGGUUGUCGUCAGCUCGUGUCGUGAGAUGUUGGGUUAAGUCCCGCAACGAGCGCAACCCUUAUGGUCAGUUACUACGCAAGAGGACUCUGGCCAGACUGCCGUUGACAAAACGGAGGAAGGUGGGGAGGACGUCAAAUCAUCAUGCCCUCUAUGACUUGGGCUACACACGUACUACAAUGGCGUUAAACAAAGAGAAGCAAGACCGCGAGGUGGAGCAAAACUCAGAAACAACGUCCCAGUUCGGACUGCAGGCUGCAACUCGCCUGCACGAAGUCGGAAUUGCUAGUAAUCGUGGAUCAGCAUGCCACGGUGAAUACGUUCCCGGGCCUUGCACU